AGUUUUUUGAAUGUGGUUGGUUGAUUGGUUUUGUUGGAGUUCAUUUUGUUUCUUUAUAGAGAUGGGGUCUUGGUUUGUCACCCAGGCUGGAUUGCAUUGGUGCGAUCAUAGCUCACUGCAGCUUCAGACUCCUGGGCCCAAGUAAUCCUUUCACCUUAGCCUCCCAAAGUUGCUGGGAUUACAGGCAUGAGCCACUGUGCAUGGCCUGUUACGUUUUUCAAGUAAAGGGAAUGUAACGUUCAAAAGUCAGGUUAGUUUUAUAAUUGUCAAUCCAGCCUUUUGGAAUAUAGUUAAAAGAGUAAAUUCCCCUAAUAUGAAUAUACUCUGUUUAAGUCAUUUGAGAGAGUUGGCCAGUUCUAUAUUAGGGAUUAAUUUUUAAAAAAUAGAAUGCAAAAGUCAAACAGAAUAAUGAAUUUCUAUAUACAUAAAGCCCAGCUUCAAAAAUUAAAAACAUUUUGCAAAUUUUGUUCCUUUCCCCCAACUUAAUUUCCCUGUUGUAUUUAAAUACAAAUGCCAGAUACCAUAUUAUGUCACUCAUUUUUUUAUUAUGAGUUUUAAUCAUUUUAAUUAAAAUAAUUUGAUAAAUUAUUUUUAUUUUAAUUAUGAAAUAGUAACAAUAUGGUAUCAUAAUAUGGUAUUUCAUUCCUAAAAUAUUUUUAACAGAUAAGUUUUUUCUCAUAAUGUCACUAUCAUAUCUAACAAAAUAAUUAUUUGUCUGAUAUUCAGUCCAUAUUUAAAGUUUCAUGAAUGUCUGAAGAAAAUGCCAUUUAUAGUUGAUUGGUUUGAAUCAGGAUCCAGUCAAGAUAGGGGACUAGAAGAAUGAAUGUCACUAUGAUGAAAUGUUGAAUAUGGGAAAUGCUUUAAGACAAAUGACCCAGUUUUAUUACCAAAAAAGUAGAAUGAGGUUGGAAGUGGAGAAUAUACAUACAAUGAUUAAGAGCCCUGAGACAUAGUAGCAUGUGUGGGCUCUGGUCCCGAUUCAGACAAAUUGACUAUAAAAUGAUAUUUUUAAGUGGAAUUUAUUCUAAUAAAUACAGUAGGGAUGUUAGACAAUAUUGCAACUUUUAAUAAAAUAAUGGAUCCAGG
rnacentral:lncRNA from 10 species